GAAACCUUGUGUGCAAAGCUUGAGCCAGCAGAUCUCCAGUUUGUUUGUUUUUAACCUCCACCCUAAGAUAUGCCAAGUUUUUACCAGCUCUCAUUGUUUUAGCAUCAAUUAAAAUUUCAUCACCAAGUAAGAACUUACGUCAUGUGCAUAUCAAGAGAUACACUAGGUGUAAUUUCGUCCUGAUCACAAUACAGUGCAUAAGUUGAAGUAGCAUCAACCAAAGUUGCCGUAAAUCCACCAUGUAAUGAACCAAGAACGUUGGUUGCAUUUUGUUCCACUUUGUACUCAGCUAAACAUGUCCCAUUGCCAGCAGAUAUGAUUUUAAUCUACAAUAUGUUUGUUUUUAAUAAUAUUAAGCUUUUAUAUAUCUAUCAAUCAUACAUUUUUAAGUAUUGACUCAAAA